UGCCAGCCGCCGCGGUAAUACGGAGGGUGCGAGCGUUAAUCGGAAUUACUGGGCGUAAAGGUCGCGUAGGCGGUUUAGUUAGUCAGAUGUGAAAGCCCCGGGCUUAACCUGGGAAUUGCAUUUGAUACUGCUAGGCUGGAGUGUGGUAGAGGGAAGCGGAAUUCCGGGUGUAGCGGUGAAAUGCGUAGAUAUCCGGAGGAACACCAGUGGCGAAGGCGGCUUCCUGGACCAACACUGACGCUGAGGCGCGAAAGCGUGGGGAGCGAACAGGAUUAGAUA
rnacentral:rRNA from 1 species